rnacentral:tRNA from 1 species
GGAAGUGUCGCCUAGUGGUCUAUGGCGGCGGUCUUGAAAACCGCUUGAUUGAAAGGUCUCGUGGGUUCGAAUCCCACCACUUCCGCCA